UACUGAUCGAAAUCAUGGCCGAAGCAUAUGACUUAGGAUUAACAGGCCUUAACGAGCAGCAUCGAGCUUUCAUUGGUUUCCAACUGGACGCGAAAACUCGCAGAAAAAACCACGGGCGGUACCCUGAAAUGUUUUUCAGUCCUUACGCUUUACCACAACUCGAGACAAUGUUUCGUGCAAAGAAAGGAGCUAGGUCAUUGCUGAUCAUUUCUGCUGCAAAACCAGUAAACACUGAGCGGUACGAGAGAUUUCGAAAGGAGUUAGUAAACAGAACUGUACAUGAUGAACCGUUUAAAGAUUCAUAUGUUUUCGAUCAAGACGUGGUUAGUUUUUCUUAUGAUCAGUUUUCAAAUCUGUUUAUUUAUAAUAUUUAUAAAGCGUCUCUCCCGCGUUUUCACUCAAGUCAUAAGCGUACGGGACAGAUACCUUCCGCGGGGAGGGGUUUCACUUGAAAGUUUGCCAGAACUUUUGUCAAAUAUUGAAAUGACCAAAAUUUAAGUACUAUAGUUAAAAGAUGAGCGGCCGAUCUUUAUCUGAUAUACAAACUCGAGCCGAAGGCAAGAAUUUUCUUAAUUUUUUUUAGCAUUUGCCCGAAUUUCCAUGGUUCUCCAUGGUUUCCCCUGUCUCGUACGCCUAUGCUCAAAGCCUUAAACAAUAUAUCCCUAACAAUCGGCUCGCAGUUGCUCGCUUUCCGCUAUAUAUAUUGGCUGACUAAAGAAAUAUAUAUAGGUAUCCCAUAAAAAAUCAAAAUAUGUUUAUAGUUUACCUCAACAUUUGUCUACAUAUCUCGAUUUGAAUCUUCAUAGGUAUGGUAAAAAAAUCGUGUGCGAAAAAUUUCUCUUCUUCAAUGGUUUUUCUGAUAUGACGUUUUCUUUGACAACUUCGUGAAUUAUCAGUAACAUAUCCAAGAAUCAGGG
rnacentral:lncRNA from 1 species